GUCACGUGGGACAUUAUUGGGUGGAUGGAAAGUGAUAUAUAUUUCACUGUACUGUACCAUAUAAAAAUUUCCACCUUGGAUACGAGUUCCCAUUUCAAGUUAGUUUAAGUAACUUUUUUUGUGAACACAAGUUGCAGCAGGAGAAGGAUCACCAUGGCUUUCAAUUAUACUACUACCAAGGGACGCCUAUAAUGUCGAGAUACUCCAAAACGGAGACGUACCAGUAUCAGAUACCGAUAUUUCACGGAUGUUCGCUGAUAUGUAUCAAUGAAGUAUCAAAAUUAAUUAUUUUAAUUUUUAAUAAAUAUUUUAUCGGAUAUUUAUGUGAUACUCCACACAUACACAAUGAUAUUUCCAAGAUACUUCACAUAUACGUAUCCUAAGAAAAGAUGAAGAGUAAAAAUGUGAGACAAUGUUGUAAGAAUUCAUUAUAGAUUGAUGUAUAUGAUUCAAUUUUAGAUAUGCAUCAAUAUAAUUGUUCUCGAUGAAUCUAAAA